rnacentral:rRNA from 1 species
UACGAAGGGGGCUAGCGUUGUUCGGAUUUACUGGGCGUAAAGCGCGUGUAGGCGGACUUGUAAGUUGGGGGUGAAAUCCCGAGGCUCAACCUCGGAACUGCCUCCAAAACUACAAGUCUGGACUCAAGUAGAGGCAAGUGGAAUUGCGAGUGUAGAGGUGAAAUUCGUAGAUAUUCGCAGGAACACCAGUGGCGAAGGCGACUUGCUGGACUUGUAGUGACGCUGAGACGCGAAAGCGUGGGGAGCAAACAGG